UACGAAGGGGGCUAGCGUUGUUCGGAAUUACUGGGCGUAAAGCGCGCGCAGGCGGUCUUCCAAGUCAGUGGUGAAAGCCCGGAGCUCAACUCCGGAACUGCCAUUGAAACUGUUGGACUUGAGUACGAGAGAGGUGAGUGGAAUUCCUGGUGUAGCGGUGAAAUGCGCAGAUAUCAGGAGGAACACCGGUGGCGAAGGCGGAUCUCUGGGCCAUUACUGACGCUGAGGAGCGAAAGCGUGGGGAGCGAACAGG
rnacentral:rRNA from 1 species